rnacentral:rRNA from 1 species
UACGAAGGUGGCAAGCGUUGUUCGGAUUUACUGGGCGUACAGGGAGCGUAGGCGGUUGGGUAAGCCCUCCGUGAAAUCUCCCGGCCUAACCCGGAAAGUGCGGAGGGGGAACUGCUCGGCUAGAGGAUGGGAGAGGAGCGCGGAAUUCCCGGUGUAGCGGUGAAAUGCGUAGAGAUCGGGAGGAAGGCCGGUGGCGAAGGCGGCGCUCUGGAACAUUUCUGACGCUGAGGCUCGAAAGCGUGGGGAGCAAACAGGGA